GGGCGGAGGCAGGGCGGGCGUAUUCAAUGGAAGUAUGCUACCAGCUGCCGGUGCUGCCCCUGGACAGGCCGGUCCCCCAGCACGUCCUCAGCCGCCGAGGGGCCAUCAGCUUCAGCUCCAGCUCCGCGCUCUUCGGCUGUCCCAAUCCCCGGCAGCUCUCGCAGAGACGUGGAGCUAUUUCCUAUGACAGUUCUGAUCAGACUGCGUUGUACAUUCGUAUGCUAGGAGAUGUACGCGUGAGGAGUCGAGCAGGAUUUGAAUCAGAAAGGAGAGGUUCACAUCCAUACAUUGAUUUUCGUAUUUUUCACUCUCAAUCUGAAUUUGAAGUGUCUGUCUCUGCAAGGAAUAUCAGAAGAUUACUGAGUUUCCAACGCUAUCUCAGAUCCUCACGUUUUUUCCGUGGCACCACUGUUUCCAGUUCUCUAAACAUUUUAGAUGAUGAUUAUAAUGGCCAAGCCAAGUGUAUGCUGGAAAAAGUUGGAAAUUGGAAUUUUGAUAUCUUUCUAUUUGAUAGACUAACAAAUGGAAAUAGUCUAGUAAACUUAACCUUUCAUUUAUUUAGUCUUCAUGGACUAAUUGAAUACUUCCAUUUAGAUAUGAUGAAACUUCGUCGAUUUUUAGUUAUGAUUCAAGAAGAUUAUCACAGUCAGAAUCCUUACCACAAUGCAGUCCAUGCUGCAGAUGUUACUCAGGCCAUGCACUGUUACUUAAGGGAACCGAAGCUUGCCAAUUCUGUAACUCCUUGGGAUAUCUUGCUGAGCUUAAUUGCAGCUGCCACUCAUGAUCUGGAUCAUCCAGGUGUCAAUCAACCUUUCCUUAUUAAAACUAAUCAUUACUUGGCAACUUUAUACAAGAAUACCUCAGUACUGGAAAAUCAUCACUGGAGAUCUGCAGUGGGCUUGUUGAGAGAAUCUGGUUUAUUCUCACAUUUGCCAUUAGAAAGCAGGCAACAAAUGGAGACUCAGAUUGGUGCUUUGAUACUUGCCACAGACAUCAGUAGGCAGAACGAGUACCUGUCAUUGUUCAGGUCCCAUUUGGAUAGAGGUGACCUACGCCUAGAUGAUGGCAGGCAUAGACAUUUGGUUUUACAGAUGGCUUUGAAAUGUGCUGAUAUCUGUAACCCAUGUCGGACCUGGGAAUUAAGCAAGCAGUGGAGUGAAAAAGUAACAGAGGAAUUCUUCCACCAAGGCGAUAUAGAAAAGAAGUAUCAUUUGGGUGUGAGUCCACUUUGUGAUCGUCAGACUGAAUCUAUUGCCAACAUUCAGAUUGGUUUUAUGACCUACCUAGUGGAGCCUUUAUUUACAGAGUGGGCCAGAUUUUCAGACACAAGGCUGUCCCAGACAAUGCUUGGACACGUGGGGCUGAAUAAAGCCAGUUGGAAAGGACUACAGAGAGAACAGUCCAGCAGUGAGGACACAGACGCUGCCUUUGAGUUGAACUCACAGUUGUUACCUCAGGAAAAUCGCUUAUCAUAGCCCCCCAAAACAGUGGGACAAACUGCCUCUUGGAGAUUUUUAGAAAUGUGAAAUGGGGUCUUGAGGUGAAAGGACUUACUCUUGACUGCCAAGGUUUCCAAGUGAAUGAUGCCAGCAUUAUUUAUUUCCACAAUUACUCUGUUGGAUCAUUUGAACUUACUUUUUAAAUUCUAAGACCUGAACAUACAGCAAUAUGCAAUCGGCUUUUGUGUGAAACCUUGAAUAUGCAAAGCCCAGCAGAAAAACCAGAAGAGUAAACAAGGAAGCUUCUGGAGGUGUGCCGCGUGGUUUUCAUAGCAUUUGUUCUUCAAACCAUGAAACUUGAACUGAAUCUUUCUGCAGCAGUCUCUUGGAAUUCAGCCAGUCUGAAGCAACAAUGUGUCUGUACCUUCCACUAAGUUCUCUCUGAGAAAACGGAAAUGUGAAGUGCCCAGUCUCUGCUGCCUCUGGCAAUGUUUACAAAUCAACUCUGAAAAUACUGGCUCUAAAUUGCCUUGGAGCAUGAUUGUGAAGGAACCACUAAAAAAAAAUUGAGAUCAAACUGGACUGCAGCUCUUCCCCCUGGCUUGCCUUUUUGUUUUUUUCUUUCUUCUUUGGAUGCCAUCAAAGCCUCCUGUUUGCUGUAUCUUAUUUUGUGCACUGGAAACUGAGCAUUUGUCAGAAUAUCGUCAAGCUUCCACUCCAGUGCUGUUUGGCAAUGCAAUUUUUUAUUAACAUUAAGUUUUUCAUUUGGGGUGGGAGGGAAGAACACAAUGUCCUAGCUGUAUUAUGAUUCUGCAGUGAAGACAUUGCAUGUUGUUUUCACUACUGUACACUUGACCUGCUCAUGCAAGGAAAAGGUGGAAUGUUUAACACCAUAAUCAGCUCAGGGUAUUUGCCAAUCUGAAAUAAAGUGGGAUGGGGAAGUGUGUCCUUCAGAUCAAGGGUACUAAAGUCCCUUUCGCUGCAGUGCGUGAGAGGCAAAUCUUCUUGAGAAGCCAAAUUAUGAACAUCUGACUUACUUGGUGAGCAUGGAUUCUGAGCAAGGGAAUCAAGUUUCCUCAUGCAUACAUCUCCCUGUGCUGAUAUACCUGUUGAUGUUCAUGUCUGUGGACCAGAGUGCCCUCUUAACCCUGGAUGAUGCUAGAUUCUCUGCCAGCAGUUGCUUAUUCAUAUUAGCUGGUUGGCAAUUCUAUUAUCCUCAGCCUUGUUAAUCGGUCAAGCUCACCUAGGCUCCAUUCUACUCCCAUCAGUUAUGUGUGUCUUAAAGUUUAGUACUCCUAGGAGUACUAAAUCUACUUGCUAUGUACCCCUAUUUACAUGUUCUCAGAGGUAUACCUCAAUACUACUCCCAUUUUCCUGAUUACACCUACAAUAAACCCAUUGAAUUAUUGUGUUUUGUUAUGUAUAUGUGACAAUCACCUACCAAAAGCCCUUGCUUAAAUGUAACCUACAUUUUUCUAGAAAAUGAAGAAAUGGUUAAAUAUUUAAAUCACAUUUUUAAAGUACUAUAAAACAAUGCAAAUUUUACAUGAAUUUUCAAAAUAAAUUGGAAACUUAAAAAAAUAGUUAAGCAUGAAUCAAGUCCUCUGAGGCUUUAGACCCAAUGCUUAGGUAUUGGGAAAAUUUGCUUCAGGAGCAAAGGUCCUUGGAGAGAAAGGUUUAACAUGUUCUAGCUUAAUAAAAAUUGAUUGCUGAUCAACAUAUGAACUUACUAACAGUUUGAAAUGAUACUCUAUAUUUAAAAAGAAGUAAAAAAAAAAACACACUUUAUGUCAUUUGUAAACCUGAGACCUAUCCUUGUACCUACAGUACAAAUUAAAGGUGCUAAUAAUUCCUUUUAAGAUUCUGAAGAGUCUCUUUUCCCACAAUGCUUCCUUGACUUUUAUGAAGCUGUUUUCGCGGAAAAAAAAAAAUCACAACAAAGCCUUCUAGCAUACACAAAUAUCUUAAUGUGUAGUUUAACUUACCUCCCAAUCAGUUACCUGCCAAUUGAGAAAAUACACAGUGACCAGUAAUAUGAAUUCAUAUUACUUUUAAAGAACUUUACAUACUUGUCACCACAGCAUUAACAUACAUUGGAAUGACAAAAUAGGUCCAACACAUACCCUGCAGCCAUUCCUUGGUAAGGACCUGCAGGUAGCCUGUAUCAUUUAAGGGUUCCAAAAGUCCAUGGUCUACAGGUGGGAUGACCAUUCCUUGGGGUGGGGAUGAGCUGAUGACAAAUAGUCUAUUUUCCCAUUCCUGUGCUCAGUAUAAGACUGACUGGGCCAUCAAUAAACAUUGAGCAAUCUAUGGAAUGUACUCACUUCUUCAGCUAUUAAAACUAUUACUGAAAUAAGUCUGUAUUAUAUAAUAAAGAUUAUCUCAGUUCCUGUUGUGUGUAGCAAUGGACAUUAAAAUGUAUCCAUUCUUAAAGUGUUUGGGGUCAGAAUGUGUGCAGUGUUUAAAUAUGAUAAUUUUCAGAAUUAUACAAAAUUAGUAUUGUUGGGGUACUAUUCAGGAGAAUGAAAAAUGGCACCAUUUAAGAUUUUCUGUCUACACUUUGUAAAGCUGUCCUGCAACGUGUCUUGAGAGUGGAAGGGAAAGGGAAAUACCUCCAUUUUUAGUAUUAAAUUUCUGGUUGGCUGUUAUUUAAAACUAAAACAUGGCGACUGAUUCUACUGUGGCUUUUCAUUGAUCCCUUUGUUAAGAAAUUCCAUUUGUACUUAUCUUUAAACUAUGCAUUUGAGUUUUUUAAUGUAAGUUUGAAGUACUACUUUAUUGUUGAGACAUCCUGUAAAAAACAAAAUCAGGAAACUGUAAUGAUAUCACAAGUUCCUUUAUCUUAGCUGAAAUUUAUAUAAACUUUUUACAGGAAAUAACA